GCCACGGUGGUCUAGCGGUUAGAACGCUGGCCUUGUAAUCCUGGGGUCCCGGGUUCGAUUCCCGGCGGUGCCA
rnacentral:tRNA from 1 species